AUGCUUAUGUUAUUCUUCAGGUCGUAUAAAUCUUUCCCCUUUUACUGAAGAUUUCCGUGGGGAGGAACACAAUGAGUUUUAACUAAUUUAUUGAUGCCCUGUGCUUAAUGGUGGGG